rnacentral:rRNA from 1 species
GACAGAGGGUGCAAACGUUGUUCGGAAUUACUGGGCGUAAAGCGCGUGUAGGCGGCAGGGUGUGUCGGAUGUGAAAUCCCGUGGCUCAACCACGGAAGUGCACCCGAAACUACCCAGCUCGAGUCUCGGAGAGGAAGGUGGAAUGCUUGGUGUAGAGGUGAAAUUCGUAGAUAUUCGCAAGAACACCAGUGGCGAAGGCGGCUCACUGGCCCGGUACUGACGCUGAGGUGCGAAAGCGUGGGGAGCAAACAGG